CCGGUACCCACGAAUGUAACCCUAUUUGGAAAAAGGGCCUUUGCAGAUGUCAUGAAGUUAAGAUGAGGUCAUCCUGGAUUGACAGUGGGCCCUAAGUUCAGUGCCAAGUAUCCUUAUGACAGUCAGAGAAGAUGACGCAGACACGGGACAGAGCAGGCCGUGGGGAGACAGAGGCAGAGGCUGGAGUGACACAGCUACCAGCCAAAGAGCACCAAGGUUGGCUGGAGCCCCCAGCAGCGGGACAGAGGCGCAGAACAUAUGACCACAGGAGCACCUGGAAAGGACCAAACCCAGCAACAGUUGAAUUUGGACUUUUAGCCUCCAGAACCAUGAGAAAGUAAGACUCUGCUGGACUGUGGCACGCACCCGGAACACCCAUCCAGCCGCCCUGAAGGAUGCAGGCCUCUCCGCCUUUGGUUCUCCUGUGCCUCUUCAGGUAUGAGGGGUUCCAGCACCAGGCUGGCCCUGGCAGCCGGGAGCCAGCCUUCUUCAGCUUGCUGCCUUUGCUGGGGAAGUGCCCACUCAGGACAGCUGAGGAGACGGAGCCACGGAGGUUGACAUAGGAGGUGAUGGAACAGCCAGUUUUCCUGCUGAGCCCAUCCGUAUAGACAGCCGGCAUGCAUUGAUGUGUCUCUCUCCCAGCUUCAACCCCUGUCUGCAGAGCUGGAGUCUCCGACUGUUCCCGCAUGUCCCUUCUCUGUUGUUACCUGCAGUCCAGACAAAAAUGGCAUAGUAAAAUAAAAGUUGAGAGAAUGCACAAACUGAUCUUUAUUUUCUCCAACAUCAAAGCGUGAUUGAUUUAUUUAUAUUUAUUUAUUUAUUUAUUUUAUUUUUGAGACAGAAUUUCACUCUGUUGACCAGGCUGGACUGCAAUGGCUCACUGCAACCUCUGCCUCCCUGGUUCAAGCAAUUCUCCUGCCUCAGCCUCCUACAUAGCUGGGAUUACAGACGCCCACCACCACACCUGGCUAAUUUUUUGUAUUUAGUAGAGUCAGAGUUUCACCAUGUUAGUCAGGCUGGUCUCGAACUGCUGACCUCAGGUGAUCCACCCACCUUGGCCUCCCAAAGUGCUGAGAUUACAGGUGUGCACCACCGCACCCAGCCGCAUGAUUUUUUUUCUUUCUGUUCUAGACAAUUUGAAAACACGAAUGAGAAGAAGAAACAGAAUCCCCCUAAUCCUAACUGCAUCAAACACAGCAAGCACUUCAACAUUCAUCUCUGUGGACCCUUUCUUGCUAGGAAAGCUGGAGAUUUUCCCUACAUAAUUAUGCUUAAAAAAAAAAACCUUUCAAGUUUAGAAUAGUUUUAUAUUUGCAGAGAAAUUGUGACAAUAGUACAGAGAAAUACACCCCACACCCAGUUCCCCCUAUUAUUAACAUCUUAUAUUAGUAUGGUGGAACAUUUGUUACAAUUAAUGCAGAAUGAGACAUUUUUAUUAACUGAAGUCCAUACUUGAUGUUCUUUUUCUGUCCCAGAAUCCCACAUUGCAUUUAGUCAUUGUGUGUCCCCAGGCUCCUCUUGGCUGUGACACUUUCUGACUCUCCUUGUCUUUGAUGAUCCUGAGAGUUUUAACGAGGACUGGUCAGGCGUUUUGUAGAACGUCCCUCAAUUUGAUCGCCUGAUUUUUUUUUUCUUUUUUUUUUUUUUUUGAGAUGGAGUCUUGCUCUGUCAUCAAGGCUGGAGUGCUGUGGCUCGAUCUCGGCUCCCUGCAACCUCGCCUCCCAGGUUCAAGCAAUUCUGCUGCCUCAACCUCCCAUAUAGCUGGGACUACAGGCACGUGUCACCACGCCUGGCUAAUUUUUGUAUUUUUAGCAGAGACAUGGUUUCACUGUGUUGGCCAGGCUGAUCUCAAACUCCUGACCUCAAGUGAUCUGCCCGUCUCAGCCUCCCAAAGUGCUGGGAUUACAGGCAUGAGCCACCACUCCCACCCUGGUGUUUUUCAUGAUUAAACUAAUCCGGUUUUUGGGAGUGACACUUUUUAAACCCCUUGUUUAAGUUUCUAUUAUGAAGGAUAGGAGAGAAGAGCUGAUAACUUUUGGGGAUAGCUAAGAAGAAAGCAUGUUGCUACAUUUUUGCCUCCACUCAAUUAGUGAGUGUAGUUUGAGGCCACCUGACUACAGGGCUGCCUUCUCUCCCCUUUCCCAUCUCUAGGCUCCAGUCUCCACUGCCUGAAGGAAAGAAGCUUUUGAAACUUGAAUCCCAUCUCAUCACUUCCUGGCUGAAAGCGCCGGCGCUGCUGUGGCUGUGGUCCUUGGGCAGGAUUCCAAAUCCUUCUUCUGAGCUUUCAAAGCCCUCAUCUGGCUCCAGAAGUUCCUUACCCCUGGUCUUAGUUAGAGACAAAAAU
rnacentral:lncRNA from 10 species